AAAGUCUCUCUACGUUCAGUUGGCUUGUAUUCCUCGCUGAAUUCGCUCCACACGAAUUGCUGGAAUCCAUAAAUGAGCACUAACACCAAUGUACCUUUGCGAUUCGAAUUUGUCGUUCUCGUUAACGGGAAAUAAAUGAUAAUAUAUCAUGCUAAAAAUUAUUUUUUUGUCAAUUUUUUAUAUAAAAUAUUUGAGAAAAUGUGUUGAAAAAAUAAUUAUAUAUGAUAAAAUUUUUAUAUAUGUAUAUUACGAUCUUUCCUAUGAUAUUAAAAAAUUGAAGUGCUGUUUCAUGGUACUAAGAAAAAGGAUUCUGAAAAUUGAAUUAUAUUAUGUUGAAUUAUAUUGGAUAAUAAAAAAAUUUAUCAACGAUGAAAUAAAGGCGAAUAUACGGAGUUAUUGUUUCGAAGUAUGCAAGAUUUAGAAUUCCAAUAUUUCCGGAAUGCAAUGUUAGGCGACAGUUAACCGGAAACUGGCCCCGGAAAUGAACGGAAGUCAUCCACAUCUUGCAAAAUGAUGUUCGUGACAAUUGAACUAAAAUGGUGAAUCUCUUGCUAGUUUUAUUGAUUGCUCAAUUAUCGAUAUUGUUAAGCUCAUUUUUUAUAAAUUUUUUUAAUUUUUAAAAAUUGCAAUUUUAAUGAUGUUUAUUUGAAUUUUUUUUUAUUUUUGAGUAGAUCUUUACAAUUUUUCACAAUUAAUUUUCUUAAACUUAAAUUUAUAUUGUAAUUUUUUUGUAUUAUUAUUAUUUUAUAUUUUAAAAUUUCUUAUAUUUUUUUGAAAUUCUAUCAACAAAAUCGUCUAGAGAAUUCGUAAAGAAUGUAGUCACGCGUGACUCUUUUCAGUCCCUGGUGAGCUUUCAUAAACAUCGAUCGUCGUCUUUAACUGAGCAAAGUGUUAACAGGUCACUUUCUUAUUUUCAGAAUCUUCCCUCGAAAAGAAUUUUUUAUUCCAAAUAUUUUUAUUACUUCAUAAAUAUUUUCUAUGCACUAAUAAAUAACCGAAUUAUAAAUUACAUUCAUCGUAAUUUAAUAAAAUGAAGAAUAAUUGUAUCUUGAAUUGUAUCAACUUGUGUUAUUUUAAUCAAAAUAAUUUUUUCAUCUUAAGUAUCUUAAUAAUAAUCGCGUCAUAAAACCAUAUAAUCCUAUAAAAAGCUGUAAUCAAGUAUAAUAAAAGAUAAUUUUUCUUAUCAAUGAUCAAUUAUUAUCGAUUGCAUUUAUUAGAAUUCACAAUAAAAUAAAAAUAACUUUAUCAUUAUCAUCCUAACCACAAUUGCAAUCUUAUAAUUAACAGAAUAACAUAAAAAAAAGAAAAAGUAUUUCAACGUAAAAAAACAAUUUUCACAUAAACUAGCAAACCAUAAUAAAAAAAAAAGAGUAAAAAAGAGUUGAUACCGUGUCAGAAUUAGCUACAGAAAAUUACAGGUAGCUGAGCGAAUACCAGUGAAUAUUUUCAUUAGCGAGGAGAGGUUAGAUCUCGAGAUAUACAUAUACUUCAUUUGUUCCAACCUUGUCGAGGCAAAGACUACGAAUGGAUCCAACGACGAGGUGCAUUUUGACGAUUUCUUGUCAAACCGAAAGUUUAAACUGGCACACGUUUGAUGUGUAUUCAAGGAAAAUUACGCUUUAAUUGGAAAGAUACGCGAUAUAAUUCGAAAUGUUCGAUAUCGAUAUGUUUUGAUUUGAUUAAACGAAAUUAGCGCUCACCCUAAUUAUGCUGGACUUUCCCACCCUGGGUGCACCGAGAAACACAACUUUGACACGAUCCAGAGUGUCUGCGGGGCUUUCCUCCUCUUUCGAUCCGCUUUCGGCGUUUUCACAAGUUAUUGUCUCGCCUCCUCUCCUUUCCAAGUAAUCCAGAUCGAGUUCUACGAACCAUUUGUACAAUAUGUAUCUUCGAAAUCUAACAUACGAGAUUGAAAUUUUGUUUAUAAAAUUAUCCUUUACGAGAAAUUAUUUUUAAAGUUUUGUAGAUUCUAAGAUUUUAUUAACAUUUAAAUAAAUUUUUCUGAAAAAUUAUAAAGAAAGUAAUUAUAAAAAAAAUUGACAAAAUAAAUUUUUAAUUAUUUUUUCAAAUUAUAUCAUCGAUUAAUUAUAUUAUGUAGAUAUUUGCUUUUAUCCAUAAUUGAGCAGAAUAAUUACAAGUAAAUUAUUACUAAUAAAAUAAUGUAUUGACAAAAUACAAUAUUGCAAUUCAUUAAUAAGCAAAUGAAUAUAGAUAUAUAUUUCAUAUACAAUAUUUUCUAUCUCCUUUACAUAUAUUAAUUCUAAAAUUUAAUUCUGACAUUCAUCGUUACAAAAAUAAAUUUUCUCGUAUUUAUUAUUUUUAUUAUAUCGGAAUAAAAUUAUAUCGCGAUAAAUUGAAAUUUGCAAUAAAAGAAAAUAUUUGUCGAAUCUAGUUAUCAUUCUAACGUUACAAUAUAUCAGAAUUUUAUGAAGUUAUAAAAAUUCGACGAGAGGGAUGUAUGAUAAUUCGAUAAAAGUGAAUAUAAAAAGCUAGAUAUUUUUCCACUGAUAUCGAAAUCGACUCUGGAUUAUUUUUCAUCCACCUUAGAACUUUCCCGUUGAAAUUUAUUAUUCAUGAAUGAGGCGAAUAUUUUUACGUGUGACGUACAAAGAUUCUUCUCCCCCUUUUUUCCUCCUUUUGAAUGUUAAAAUCAGGUUUAAUCGGUGAUCAGAAUAGUAAAUUCAUCUUGUCGGUCACUUAUUAUAAUAUUCAAGAUUUUUCAUUAAAUUAUAUGGAUAUGAUUUUAUCGAUUUACAUUAUUUUUACCUAAUAUCUGAAAGUGAAAAAAAUUCAUUUUACUUUUUUUUUGAAUGACAACAAAAUUUUUCUCACCGUUAACGAUGUUGCCGAAAAAUAAAAAUAAAAUUUCAAUUUAUUUCAAUUCAAGGGGAAUAUUAAAAUUGAAAAAUAUGAUUUAGCGAAUUUAAAAAAAAUGGAAAUAAUAAAUCUCUAUGAAGACAUAAUAAUUCCCUGGCAAUGAAAUUUAACGUUCGAGAAAUUAGAUUUUUAUAAAUAUGAAACGAGAAUAAAUUUCUCCGACAAUUUUUAAUUAUUGUUAUUAUUAUUAUUAUUAUUAUUA